rnacentral:rRNA from 1 species
GGAAAAGUUCGGGCGGGCGUGCUCAAACAGCAAGUCCGAGCGAACAGUACGAGGAGCUUCGCUCUCGUCGUUAGCGGCGGACGGGUGAGUAACACGUGGGUAACCUACCUAUAAGACUGGAAUAACUCCGGGAAACCGGGGCUAAUGCCGGAUAAUAUGCGGAACCGCAUGGUUCCGCAAUGAAAGACGGUUUUGCUGUCACUUAUAGAUGGACCCGCGCCGUAUUAGCUAGUUGGUAAGGUAACGGCUUACCAAGGCAACGAUACGUAGCCGACCUGAGAGGGUGAUCGGCCACACUGGAACUGAGACACGGUCCAGACUCCUACGGGAGGCAGCAGUAGGGAAUCUUCCGCAAUGGGCGAAAGCCUGACGGAGCAACGCCGCGUGAGUGAUGAAGGUCUUCGGAUCGUAAAACUCUGUUAUUAGGGAAGAACAAGUGCGUAGGUAACUAUGCGCACCUUGACGGUACCUAAUCAGAAAGCCACGGCUAACUACGUGCCAGCAGCCGCGGUAAUA